rnacentral:rRNA from 1 species
GUGCUGUUGUAAUAGUAACUCAACUCAGUACGAGAGGAACCGUUGAUUCGAAUAUUUGGUCCUUGCCGUUGCCUGAACAGGCAAUGCGGCGAAGCUACCAUUCGUCGGAUUAUGACUGAACGCCUCUAAGUCAGAAUCCACGCUAGAAGCGGCGCUUGUCACUCUUCGACUGUAUCGUGACCCACAGUAGGGGUGCUUCGGCAUCCCCAGGGGCUCGUGUCACUUGCGAACUCUGGCCGGGAGAAAAACCGGUUGGGGCAGCUUUGAAGUUCAAUUCCAAAUGGUCGGCGAGAAGAAUCCUUUGCAGACGACUUAAAUACGCGACGGGGUAUUGUAAGUGGCAGAGUGGCCUUGCUGCCACGAUCCACUGAGAUUCAGCCCUUGGU